UCCUUUACGUGUUCUUUGAUGAUAUCUUGAUUUAGUCAAGAUAAAGACUUUCACAUUGACCAUCUUCAAAAGGUUUUAACUUGUAAUAAUUUUAUUGUCAAGAUGUCAUGUGUAGUUUUGCAAACAACUCAUUGCUUAUCUUGGUCACAUCGUUUCUGCAUACCCAAAAAAAUAAAGGAUAUGGUGGAUUGGCCAAAGCCAUCCUCGCUUUGAGGAUUCUUGUUGAAAGUUUACUAUGUUGGUGGCUCUUAUAACUGAACUCUCAUAAAGAUUGCUCUGAUUGGGAAGAAAAGAGAAGUGGCGGACCAGACGUUCUUCACACUUAAUUACAAAAGCUCUGAUCACCUGAGCACCAACCUUUUCAAUGUACUCCAAUUUGGUUGGUUGUUUGCUCAUGAUGUGGUUGUUGAUGAGGGAGAUUUCCAUUGCUCAUCCCUGAUCUAUGUAAUGAUCGAAAUGGUGCAAGAGAGGAGUGGAAGAUGACGAAUCUCGAGAUCAUCUCACUCUGGUUGCCUUCAGGUUUGUUAGCCUCCUAUAAGCCCGUUGUUUGGAAGAUGCCCACGUGUGCUCAGGAGUUAGCACUUACUCUAUAAGAGCUUGCAAUCAGGUAGUGCAUCUUCUAACCCAGUCAGCACGAUGUGUUCUCUACCUUUUUUUUGGCAUGUUUGUAAUUUUUAAAUUGCCAUAUCUUAACAUGUUUACCAAACGAGCUCUUAUUGUGAACAAAUCAAAAUGACAAAAAGACCAUAAUUUUCGUAAAGAUGGGGAGUAUAAUGUAUUAUUAGGGUUGUCGAACAGUUCAAAUCCAGUUACCUAUACAAAAAUUUUGGUUCUCAAAUUGAAAUUCGCCAAAAAUUAAUAACUGAACACGAACAAUUCUGAAUGUUCAAUUAUUGGCCAAUAACCGCAUCAGUUAACCGAUUCAGUUUUUGAGUAAUCCAAAAUAAUAAUAAUAAAAUGUACAAUUUUUUUAAUUUAAAUACUAAAAAUAAUUAAAUAUUUAAAAUUAAAAAACUUCACAAAUCUAAUUAUACAUAUGCAUGUUCCAGAUGCAAUUACGAACAACAAUUCAAAUGUCAGACAUAAAUUCAAUAUUUGACAAACAACAAUUUAAUUAUGCAAAUAAAUUGUUUACAUGCAAAAUUAAAAAACAAAAGAGUAAACUUUUAAUUUGUGAGUGACAUGAUUGGAUGGCUAGUUCCCUCCCACAAUACAUUAUUCUUUUCCUUUUUAUUUUUCAUAUUUCUAUUUUUCUGUCAAAUCAAAAAUUUAUGAUAGAGCAUGCCACACCUAGCAUUAAAUCCUUAUCAUGUCGUGGCUUUUUCCCCCCUUUAUGCUACUGUUUCUUGAAAUUAAUUCCCUUUACA